CUCAAGUACUGGCUUCAAAGGGUUGUGUGAAUGCAGUGAAAAGCCUUCACUGCAUAGUGUAAGACAGGCUUUGCCUCUAAGUGUGUUUCAAGCAGCAGCAGCAGUUCCAGAUUCUACCAUAUAUGAGAUUAAAAUCCUUGGGACGCUGUUGAACCACUGCUAUCUAUGAAAUCAUGGAGACUAUUCUUGUCAGGCACAGUUACCAGCUUUCUAUCACAAGAGAUUACAUUACAUUUCCUGUCAUUUAUGGAAAUAAAUUCAAACACUGAAUAAUAUUCCAUUGUGUACCACAUUUUCAUUAUCAAAUCAUCAGUUGAUGGAUGUCGUGGCUGUUUCCAUUUCCUGGCUAUUUGACUUGGCUUCUAAUGUCAAAAAUAAUGAAAUGCCAGUUCCAAGAUUAUCAUAUGACUGUGCCUUCUGCCACGAUCAGACUUCUGGUCUCGCAUUUGCUCAUUCCGACGAAGAACUUUGUCAUGUUGUAUCCUAUAGAGAGGCUCACAUCUUCAGAAGGAAAUGCAGAAAAACCAGGAAGAAGACAAUCUUGUGAGCUAAAAAGUUCCACCCCAGUAUCUGGAACCAACUAAGAGACAAGCCUCUGGGCAGGCCUGGGAGGGAGUACUGUGGUUAAGUUAACCGAGGUGAGAAGAACCAGCCUCAUCGUGAUGGUGCCAUUCCCUGACCUUGUGUCCUGAACCGCUCAAGAAGGAAAGAGGCAGCUGCACACCCAAGCUCAUCGUAAUCUGCUUCCUGACUGCAGAUGUAACGUGUAGACAAGUUCCUGCCACCCGCAUUCCUGCCACAGGAAACUGUCCCUUCACACUGUUUGCCAAAAUAAAUGCUUUCUCCCAGAAGUUGCUUUUGUCAGGGUGUUUUAUCAGAGCCACAAGAAAAGGAACUAAGACAUCCUCUUAGACUGAUACUUUAUUUGUGCUUAUUUUUUUCAAUAAACCACACGUCUUAAUACCAUUCCUCCCUGAACUGUCUUUGCCCUGACUCUGUCAGUCCUACUAGAAGCAGACAGUAAAACCCACAUGCUGCAAUAUAUUUUGUAGUUUCCUCUAGCAGAUAAACUAGUCUGUCAACUUUAAGUUAGGCUUCCCACAGAAAUCUCUGAAAUGGACAAGAUGCCUCCAGAUUAGUGGCCACAGUAGAACAUGAGUGGCCUGUAGAACAAUUUCUGUCAGAUUGCUCAUCUUUAUCUGAAAUCUCAUCAGCCUAGCUGUUAUUGGUCAGCAUUCUAAUCCACUGAGCCAUCACAGAGUCACCCCUGAAGUCACUUGCAGCAUUAUAGGCUUUCUUGAGUUUGGUUGGCCAACGUUUUCCAAAUUCUUGCUGCAAACCAAUACCAAUGCUCUUCCACAACGUUUUAGGCCCAGCAAUAGCUGUCCUCUUUCUCUUUUUUUUUUUUUCACAACAAAAUAUACUUUCUAUUUCCAAAUAUUUUUACCAAAUUUGUUCUUUAGUAAUUGUCCAAAUGUACAUAAUGCAUACUGACCACCCUUGUAGCCUACCCUCUCCCAUCUUUGUAUGAUUCCAUCGUGUACAUUUUUAAUUCACUCAUCCCAUUAAAGUCUGCCAUCAUCGUGUAAGCCAAAGAAUGAU